AGCCCAUGGUGAAGACAUCUCCUUAACAAAUCCUUAUACCUUUCCCAAGCCUCAUACAAUCAUUCAAAAUUGAAUUGUGUGAAAAAAGUGAUGUCAUUCUGCAUCAU
rnacentral:snoRNA from 1 species